GGGCGGUUAGCUCAGUUGGUAGAGCGCUUCGCUUACACCGAAGAGGUUUCACAGGUUCGAGCCCUGUACCGCCCACCA
rnacentral:tRNA from 2 species